rnacentral:rRNA from 1 species
GAUUUCUGACUCGUCUCCUCUGACCCGCCACGGUUACGUGUGUGAGUGUCGGCUGGAAGCAGUCAUCACUUCUAGCUGCUCGGCAGACUCUUCACUGAGCCUUGUCGCUGUGACUAGAUCUUUUACUUUGAAAAAAUUAGAGUGUUUCAAGCAGGCAUGUUUUGCUAUGAAUACAUUAGCAUGGAAUAAUAAUCUAGGACUUUCGGUUCUAUUUUGUUGGUGUUCUGGAGCUGAAGUAAUGAUUGAUAGGGAUAGUUGGGGGUGCUAGUAUUCAAUGGCCAGAGGUGAAAUUCUCGGAUUCCUUGAAGACUAACUUAUGCGAAAGCAUU